GCGUGAGUGAUGAAGGCCUUCGGGUUGUAAAGCUCUUUCGCACGCGACGAUGAUGACGGUAGCGUGAGAAGAAGCCCCGGCUAACUUCGUGCCAGCAGCCGCGGUAAUACGAAGGGGGCUAGCGUUGUUCGGAAUUACUGGGCGUAAAGGGCGCGUAGGCGGCUUAUCAAGUCAGGCGUGAAAGCCCCGGGCUUAACCUGGGAACUGCGCUUGAGACUGGUAGGCUAGAGUACCGGAGAGGUGGGUGGAAUUCCCAGUGUAGAGGUGAAAUUCGU
rnacentral:rRNA from 1 species